CCUGCUGUGCUCAUCCCCUCUGGAUUUCACAAGAGAUUGUUCUAGCUCUGUGUUCUGGCCAAGGCAAGUAAGGCACGGCCAUUCUCAGUGAGUUCUGCUUUUCCCUGUGCCCUGGCAUGGCUGCAGGGCUGUUCAUGGCUUAACCACAUCCCACACUGCAUCUGCAGGGGAGCAGCAUUAAUGGCACUUCUGGUGGAAGGCUGGUCCCUGCAGCAAACUCUGAAGCACACCAGCAUCCCCCAGGCUCCUCUGUAAGAUCAUUUUUCACAAGAUCUGAUUGUGCUCAUACUUUUAGAGGGAGGAGGAAACAAAUAUGGACUUAAAUGGACUGGGUGAUAGAUUACAGUGUGGCUGAUUCCUAUUUACAUCCACUGCUAGACAUGGUGAUGUGAUCCCCUUGCACUGUAUGUGCCAGGAGUCUUCAUGGCUCAAAAACAGAGAAUACUGCAACUUCCGAAGAGACUGGAGGAUGAAAGGAAAGAUGUGUAGGAUGAAUUCCCUGUUGACAGCCAGGUCUGAAAUUACAGCUUCUAGAAAGUGAAGUGGCAUUUGGUGGCAGUGGCCCAGAAGACAACCGGUGUUUUCAGCAAGGGACUUGAAGGUGCAAAGUAGAACAUAAUUUUUGUGUUUGUAUCAACAACAACAACAAAAAAAGCCUUGACUUUGGAUUCAUGUUGUCCUUCUGUCACCUUCCCCUUGCUUUUAAAUUACCCUUGAUUGUACAACAUCUGCUCCCUUCAUGCGUGCAUAUGGCUGUCUCCUUAAAUCUGCAUUUCUGUGGAGGGGCUGCAUACAAAUACCCAGCUGAAAGUUUUCUUUCAAAGAUCUGACUAACCAGCUUGCUCUGGAAAAGCAAACUUGGCAUCAAGAUAACUGUGAAAAGCUGACAGUGUGGGAAGGGGGUACCUGUGCAGAGGAAUGGUAAUGACAAGUGUCAGACAGGGACGCUGGUGACGAUGGAAGAUGAAGCAAUCGAAGGAUCAAAACUGGCAACGACCAAAGAUGAAGCAAUUGAAGGAUCAAACCCUGCAUCUUCAGAGGGGAGGUUGUGUUUCAUUCUUGUAUUCAAAACAGAAAAUCCUCACAGAUGUGAGUCCUGGAACAUGAGAGGAAUGUCAGGUUUUUAGGUAUAUGAGAAAAACUCCUACAAUUGGCAUUCUCGGAACGUCUCCUCACCAGACAUUUGCUACCCAAAAUAAUUCCCAAAGAUUUUCAACAGAGCUCUGGGUUGCAAGUGUAUAGGAUGGCAAGGUAAAGGGUUAUCUGCUGUAGGCUCUACUUGGUAAAACGUUAUCCCUCUUUUGGUUUUGAAUCUUAAAAAAUAACCAUAUAAAAGUACAGAACUGUCCUCUGAUCAUCUCUGUCUGCUUACAAUAUGUUAUGUGGCUUGUUCUUCUGUUUUUAGGGGUAUGUUAGCUGGCUUUUAGUUUUGUGGUAGAGGAAAUACUUCCAUAUGUGUGUGGUAAAAGAAGGCUGAAUUCCAAAGCCUUGGGCAACCUGGUCUAGUGGAAGAUGUCCCUGCCCAUGGCAGAUGGUUGGGACUACAUGAUCUUAAGGUCCCUUCCAUCCCAAACCAUUCCAUGAUUCUGUGAUUUGCAGUAUGCCUGUAGGCUGCUUAUUUAACUUCUCAGUGCCUUGACCUCUACUUGACAAGUAGCUCUGUUAUCUCCUGUUCAAGUCCUUAUUUUAAGCAGUCACUGUGGCAUCUGACUGAGCUCUCUUCCUUCUUCUCUCCUGUGUGAGGUUGGAACUGGCCAAGGGAGCUUCCAGGGUCCCCUGGGAAGAGUACAGGCAAUACCUCUGUGACUGAAGAUGCUCAGCUGAGGAUGGUCGUGUCCACACAGGCAGCACCACUGUAGGACAGUGACAUCCAGCAUCUCAAGUCCUCAGACAGCAGCAUGAUGGACAGUCCUGAGGAAUGUGUGGUGAUGGAUAUAUAGUUGGAAACCCCCAGUGAUGGAUGACAGAGAAAGGGAGAGGGGGACGUUUGGUGAUUGAUCAAUAGUGGCACAACCGCAGUAUCCACAAUUAAUGGUGAACUCACAUGAAGAGGUGAUCAGAACCUGGGAGUCAAGAAGCGAUGAACAGCACCAAGGGCAGCCUGACGUGUGUCC